GAAAGAUAAUAUAAAGGACAGUCACAAAUUUUUUUUUCUAUUAUUUGCCAAUAUGUCUUCUGCUUUUGGACUACUGAUUCUUUUAAUCACCUUUAUAUUAAAAUUUAUUUUAGAUCAUAUUGAUGAUAUAAUUAGAUUACUUCAAAAUAUCGCUCCUGUUGUUCGAUCAUUAAGAAGUAGUCCUAGUAUUGGUCAAAUUUUAGGCAUUCAAAAUGGAUAGAAGAAAGAUUUUGUCUCCGCAAAGGAAUUCAAACAGUUAUUUAAAAAAAAAUUCUAUCAUAUUACUCUGUAGUAAUUAUUAAAAAUGUGAAUUUAAAAUUACACCCACCCGAUUAAUAUUGGAACUUAUGUAUAAUAAAAUAAAUCAUAAAAUUA